UUGCAUAAAUCUUGCUAGUUAGCUUGUAGAAAGGCCUAGUAAGUUGUAUCUGUCCAAAUAGAGGGCUUGCAGUUGACGUACGAUGCCUCCUGGCGGCCAUGUUGGAAGACCACCACAAUUAUUUCAACAACAACAGCCGAGUGACUACCCCAAACUGCAUGAUAACAGUCCCUAAAACGAAUUUAUUCAUCGCCACGGUCAUUUUUGGCUGCUCUAACAAGGCAGGAAAGACAACAGGAAAAAUAUGUUUACAGAUUCCCCGCAAUCAUGAAACACCAGUGGUGAUACCAUUGCAAUAAGGCUCAAGAACUAUCCGAAAAGCAAAGAAACCUUUUUGCUCUGAACCCAGACUGUUAGUACAGUGUCUGCUAUGAUCAUUUCAACACUGGUAAAUAGUAAUACGCUCUAAACUGCUCUGGUGACAAAAAACUUUGCUGCCCUGUUUCCAAUUGUUCGCAUGGCUGGGAGAACCUAUUCAAAUACAGAGAGCUGUGAAAGCCUGUCUGCAGAUGAAGAGGUCCCAAUGAAGAGCAGUGGUUCUCAGUCCUGGUCAUGGAGCAAUACACAGCUAAUUCAAAUGAUCCUCAUCAAGCUUCAAGUGGUAUUUAUGUAUUAAUUUGUGAUGCUAUCCUUGAUAUGAGCCUGCUGUUGUCACAUGCUACACAUGAACGUGUCUGCACAUGCAGCUAUCUAUCCAAAGUUAACAUAAUUUGUUAUAAGAGAUAUUAUGUUUUAGUAAUCCAGAAUGACCUGGUGAUGUAAAAGUCUAAUAAUGACAUUAUCUUCAUUAUUCCUACAGAUACAGUGGGGGGAAAAAGUAUUUGAUCCCCUGCUGAUUUUCUACGUUUGC